AUUGAACGCUGGCGGCAUGCUUUACACAUGCAAGUCGAACGGUAACAGGCCGCAAGGUGCUGACGAGUGGCGAACGGGUGAGUAAUGCAUCGGAACGUGCCCAGUCGUGGGGGAUAACUACUCGAAAGAGUAGCUAAUACCGCAUACGAUCUAUGGAUGAAAGCGGGGGACCGUAAGGCCUCGCGCGAUUGGAGCGGCCGAUGUCAGAUUAGGUAGUUGGUGGGGUAAAGGCUCACCAAGCCAACGAUCUGUAGCUGGUCUGAGAGGACGACCAGCCACACUGGGACUGAGACACGGCCCAGACUCCUACGGGAGGCAGCAGUGGGGAAUUUUGGACAAUGGGAGCAAGCCUGAUCCAGCAAUGCCGCGUGCAGGAAGAAGGCCUUCGGGUUGUAAACUGCUUUUGUACGGAACGAAACGGCUCUGGUUAAUACCCGGGGCUAAUGGCGGUACCGUAAGAAUAAGCACCGGCUGACUACGUG
rnacentral:rRNA from 1 species